rnacentral:rRNA from 1 species
UACGAAGGGGGCUAGCGUUGUUCGGAAUUACUGGGCGUAAAGGGCGCGUAGGCGGUACUUCAAGUCAGGCGUGAAAGCCCCGGGCUCAACCUGGGAACCGCGCUUGAGACUGGAGAACUAGAGUUCGGGAGAGGAUGGUGGAAUUCCCAGUGUGGAGGUGAAAUUCGUAGAUAUUGGGAAGAACACCGAUGGCGAAGGCAGCCAUCUGGACCGACACUGACGCUGAGGCGCGAAAGCGUGGGGAGCAAACAGG